UUGGGCUGAAUAAUCGAGUGAGGAUUACCCAACUUAGAGGGUGCAGUUGUCUUUUACCACCUUUUUUCAUCUUUUUAGUGUUUAUAUUUUUUUAUUUUAUUCUCUAAAUAAAUCAUACAUACAUGUGAUAAAAAAUAUGCCAGCCUUUUAAAAUAAAUUACUCGAAAAGUACUUCUUAGAAUCCAAGUACUAUGGUACAAAAUAUGCGCUAAACUCGCAAACUAU
rnacentral:lncRNA from 1 species